UUUGUAAUCACUCAUGUGUAUAGCAGCGACCCUCUCACCUUUAAAUUUGAAUUCGUGUGUGCUGCUCAUAGAGAGAAAAGACUCAUAUUCAUCCACGUACCCUUUGCUUCAUCAUCCGCCUAUACCCCCCCCCCCCCCCACAGCU
ensembl:ncRNA C02D4.14 ncRNA